rnacentral:misc_RNA from 1 species
CUUCGGAGGGCAAGGCCAAGUCUCGCCUGGAGGUGUUGGCAGAGCUGCGAGACAUGAAGCGCCGGCGAGCUCGCUACCGUGGCGUCGCGCCCAACAAGAACUACUCGCACACGCUCAGGGAGCUCAUCGCCACGCAGUGAUAGCACUGUGCACAUUCGGUUGGACUGGGUGGCGUUUGACAGGCUUCGUCGAGUCUUGACUUCGAAGAUUCCACAAUUCUUGAAGAUAAAAGUCUUCGAGCAAUGCGUCCUGCCUGUGUUAACAUACGGAGCCGAG